rnacentral:rRNA from 1 species
GACGAACGCUGGCGGCGUGCCUAAUACAUGCAAGUAGGACGCCGUUGCGAACGGGUGAGUAACGCGUAGGAAACUGCCGCUUAGACGGGGAUAACUAUUGGAAACGAUAGCUAAUACCGCAUAUUAGUAGCUGGACCUGCUUUGUAUUAGCUAGUAGGUAGGAUAAUGGCCUACCUAGGCGACGAUACAUAGCCGACCUGAGACGCUGAACGGCUAUACUGGAAUUGAGACACGGCACCGAUUCCGACGGGAUGCAGCAGUAGGGAAUCUUCGGCAAUGGGUGGAACACUGACCGAGCAACGCCGCGUGAGUGAUGAAGGUUGUCGGAUUGUAAAGCUCUGUUGUUAAGGAAGCGGUACCUAACAAGAGAGGGACGGCUAAGAACGUACCAGCAGCCGCGGUAAUUC